rnacentral:rRNA from 1 species
UACGAAGGGGGCUAGCGUUGCUCGGAAUCACUGGGCGUAAAGGGUGCGUAGGCGGGUCUUUAAGUCAGGGGUGAAAUCCUGGAGCUCAACUCCAGAACUGCCUUUGAUACUGAAGAUCUUGAGUUCGGGAGAGGUGAGUGGAACUGCGAGUGUAGAGGUGAAAUUCGUAGAUAUUCGCAAGAACACCAGUGGCGGAGGCGGCUCACUGGCCCGAUACUGACGCUGAGGUGCGAAAGCGUGGGGAGCAAACAGG